GAUGAACGCUAGCGGCAGGCCUAAUACAUGCAAGUCGAGGGGCAGCAGAAAUAGCAAUAUUUGCUGACGACCGGCAAACGGGUGCGGAACACGUACACAACCUUCCUACAAGUGGGGAAUAGCCCAGAGAAAUUUGGAUUAAUACCCCGUAACAUAGCGAUGUGGCAUCACAUUGCUAUUAUAGCUUCGGCGCUUGUUGAUGGGUGUGCGGCUGAUUAGAUAGUUGGCGGGGUAACGGCCCACCAAGUCUACGAUCAGUAGCUGAUGUGAGAGCAUGAUCAGCCACACGGGCACUGAGACACGGGCCCGACUCCUACGGGAGGCAGCAGUAAGGAAUAUUGGACAAUGGACGCAAGUCUGAUCCAGCCAUGCCGCGUGAAGGAUUAAGGUCCUCUGGAUUGUAAACUUCUUUUAUAAGGGACGAAAAAAGGUCUUUCUAGAUCGUCUGACGGUACCUUAUGAAUAAGCACCGGCUAACUCCGUGCCAGCAGCCGCGGUAACAC
rnacentral:rRNA from 1 species